rnacentral:rRNA from 1 species
UACAGAGGGUGCGAGCGUUAAUCGGAAUUACUGGGCGUAAAGCGCACGUAGGUGGCGACGUAAGUCGGGUGUGAAAGCCCCGGGCUCAACCUGGGAACUGCGCUUGUUACUGGCAGGCUGGAGUGUGGCAGAGGGGGGUGGAAUUCCACGUGUAGCAGUGAAAUGCGUAGAGAUGUGGAGGAACACCGAUGGCGAAGGCAGCCCCCUGGGUCAAGAUUGACGCUCAUGCACGAAAGCGUGGGGAGCAAACAGG